UCUCCUGGAAACGGGUGGUAAUGCCGGAUGCUCCAUCACACCGCAUGGUGUGUUGGGAAAGCCUUUGCGGCAUGGGAUGGGGUCGCGUCCUAUCAGCUUGAUGGCGGGGUAACGGCCCACCAUGGCUUCGACGGGUAGCCGGCCUGAGAGGGCGACCGGCCACAUUGGGACUGAGAUACGGCCCAGACUCCUACGGGAGGCAGCAGUGGGGAAUAUUGCACAAUGGGCGCAAGCCUGAUGCAGCGACGCCGCGUGAGGGAUGGAGGCCUUCGGGUUGUAAACCUCUUUUGUUAGGGAGCAAGGCACUUUGUGUUGAGUGUACCUUUCGAAUAAGCACCGGCUAACUACGUGCCAGCAGCCGCGGUAAUACGUAGGGUGCAAGCGUUAUCCGGAAUUAUUGGGCGUAAAGGGCUCGUAGGCGGUUCGUCGCGUCCGGUGUGAAAGUCCAUCGCUUAACGGUGGAUCCGCGCCGGGUACGGGCGGGCUUGAGUGCGGUAGGGGAGACUGGAAUUCCCGGUGUAACGGUGGAAUGUGUAGAUAUCG
rnacentral:rRNA from 1 species